rnacentral:tmRNA from 1 species
GGGGCUGAUUCUGGAUUCGACGGGAUUUGCGAAACCCAAGGUGCAUGCCGAGGGGCGGUUGGCCUCGUAAAAAGCCGCAAAAAAUAGUCGCAAACGACGAAAACUACGCUUUAGCAGCUUAAUACCUGCUUAGAGCCCUCUCUCCCUAGCCUCCGCUCUUAGGACGGGGAUCAAGAGGGGUCAAACCCAAAAGAGAUCGCGUGGAAGCCCUGCCUGGGGUUGAAGCGUUAAAACUUAAUCAGGCUAGUUUGUUAGUGGCGUGUCCGUCCGCAGCUGGCAAGCGAAUGUAAAGACUGACUAAGCAUGUAGUACCGAGGAUGUAGGAAUUUCGGACGCGGGUUCAACUCCCGCCAGCUCCACC